CGCAGGCUGCUGUAGUCGGUUUCCUCAGUCGGUUGGGCGUCGUGAAGAAACACGGCGGAUAGCGUUAAACGUGAAAACUAGAAAACAAAAAGUUUUGUCCCAUUUGAAAGAAAUGAUAUUUUAGUCUGUCUCGGUCUCAUUUUGUUGUGUUUUAUAACGUAUUUUGGCCCUCGGCGCUGUUCGACAAACAAAGAAGGAGACCAGAGGAAAACAGCCUGUAAAAGCGCCAUAAACACGAUAUUAGCAGAACAAACAACCUGCAAAUCUGCUGUAAGAACUCUCUGCUCCGAAGUAAAUGUAAAGUUUUAAACAUAUUUACGUAAAAUCUCAACCUUAAUCCGAAAGAAAGCAAACAGGAAGCCCGCACUCUAGGCCUCACUUCUAGGCCGCUGCAGUGGAACAAACCGUCGUGUCUGAACUCAUUUAAGUGGCCUCGACGCUCCCAGUAAAGAGAUCAUAGGCAGAGACGAGGGAUUUCAAGGACGCGUGGACUUCAAUUUAAUCGAAGAGGCUGAGAGUGGAGUGGAAGAGUGACACACGGAGGAGAGAAGUUCAUUAUUCCGCUGAAAAGGAAACCAAUGGCUUUCACAGUCACCAUGGUUUGAGUGACAGUCCCUUCACCUUAAUGACUGAACUUAAGACGUGUUCACUGCCUCAGAUGGGCCCACAUUAGGAGAUGAUCCUCGGGGGGCUGCGUCCAAACAUGUGGUUUGGGCCUGAAAGACGUGCCAGACCUGCUGCCAAAGCUGAGCCUCCACCUCACCCUGCAGACAUGGCUGAACACACACAUACACACACACAGGCACGCACGCACACACACAAAUCACGCAUAUCUCUAAUAUGUGUUUUCGAGCAUGUAAGCAUACUUUAUAUCCUCAUGCAUCUGCUGCGCAUGAGUGCCUUAGACUGUUCAGUGUGCAGAGGCACACAAACACACACACACACACACACACACACAUACACAUACAUACAUACAUUCUUGCCACCUCUGCGUUCAGGUCUGAUGAUGGAGCCGUCACAGACUGUCAUGCCACGUGUCAGACUGAGACACGACCGAGCCACGUUCACACGCUCUUACUUGACACAAACAUAAACACACACACACACAUGCGUUCAGUUUGUCAGUUCUCUCUUGGGCCUAUUUUUAAAACCAUGAACACACCUACACACAUUCUCCCAUGCUAAGGGCACACCCACCAUGUCAUGCUACGCACAGGAUCAUCCUCGUCUGGUCCCGGAGAACACCUCUGCGUGGAUGCAAAGCGGUGCGGGGGGAGGGGGGAGGGAUUAGUCAGGGUGAAGUAAAUCUCGACACCUAACACUAGUGGUCUCUCUGUAAAAGUUGUUUGCACCCCCCAUAUUUAAUGGUACAGCACCUACUGAUUAUUGCAUGCUCUGAGCUAGUCUUGUAAUUGCACGGCACAUACCUGCCCAGGGUGUAAGCCCAUCCGCUGAACAUGGGGGCCCCUGUGUUAGAUGGCUGGCCUUAUUGUCUUAACAGAGAGGGAGCCUCCUAUCUGUCAUUCAACAUCAGUCAUUGUCAGUGUGCAUCCCCACACUGUGUCCCAUAGAAACGUGCAUAUGCUCAGUUUUUGUGCCUUAAUCAGCCAGUGUUUAUGAAAAGUGUUUAUGAUCUCAGAAGCUUAAGGUAUCACCCCUUCAGAAGUUAAGGCAGGACGGCCAUUUUAUCAUAUGAAUCAGAGCACACUUUUUAAAGCUGAGGUUGUUUUCUUGACAUCUGAGUGAGUCAGACUCUGUGUGCCUGUGUUCGGUUGAUGGUGACGUCUGUGGUUGUACAGUGCGCAGCCUGUCAUCACAGAGGCAUUGCAAAUAUCACAUCCAAGGGCUCUUUUGUAGUUAUUUUUGGGUGGUUCGUCUUGCCAGUAUCCGUCUCUCUCCUUAACUUUUAAUCAGAGGCGCUGCUUAUCUUUUUUGUCCCCUGAUUAUAUCAGCGAGCCAGUUUUGGGUCCCUUUGCUCUUGGUACAGUUGCAAAACUGAUCCAAAACACCCACUCUUACUUUAUGAGUGCUUGUGUAGUUGGUAAUUGUGUUGUCUGCGUAUCACAGCAUCAAGUUUUUGACUUUGAUGUAACCAUUAUGAAGGAUUUCUUACCGCCAACAACUUUGAUGGCUUGGUAAGAUGUUGAAUGUACCUUGAUGAAGAAGUGUUGGGAAAGGAGAAUCAGUUGUGUGUAUUGUUGAAAAAAAACAUGGAAAAAUUAGAUAAGAGGUCAGUGAAGUCAAACAAGCAAAGAGAUCAAACUAAUUUCAGACUAUGUACCUGCUCCUUCCUGGGAGAAGCAAACUGGAAUGAGGAGUGGCCACACAAGUUUGUCACACAAGCCCUGUGUGAAAACACACUGAUUGAAAUCAGGCGUAUUACAAUUAUAGGUAACGAACAGCAACAUACCAAUGCCGAAAUGCCAAGAAUUAUGUUUUAAAUAGCUUUUGUUUUCUCCACUUUGAAUGAAAGAAUAUAAUAAUAAUAUACUAUCUACUGCUUUAUUGUUUGCUUACUCAGUUUUGAAAGUAAGAAAUAUGUACAUUUUUUUAUUUUUAUGUUUACUGUUUAUUACAUAAGAUUUAUGGAAAAUGUCAUAAUCAAUAUCCGGAAUGAAGUUUUUACUGUACAAGAAUAAGGAAACAUGCUGAAAUGCUGCUUUCAUUUUCUAACUUUGUGCAGUUUAAAACAUAGAAAAGGAAAAACCCUCUAUGGUAUGUUCCUCAGUACUGGUAUUUAGACACAUAUUAAGAGAUUUAUAAAUAUAGGCGCAGAUUUGCAGAUUCGCUGAUUUGCUAACAGCUUACUUUUAAUAGACCAUUAAGAGGUUAGUGUGUAUGAUGGACUUACACAUUAAGAUUUUUUUUUAACGUGGUGUUGUGUUGGUUAGGAGGUGGUUGUUGUUGUUGUUAUUGAUAGCCACAGGCCUGUACCUCUUCCUGGGUGACAGUAAUAGGAGUUAAAACCUGUAAAUCUUCAGGAGACCUCCUUCCUCCCCUCUAAUUCCUCAUUACCUCACGGCAGGUUGUCUCAGGAGAGAUUUUGAAGGCCUGCAGGGCUGCUUCAGUGGAGAAGCAUGUUUCACUGAGUGAGUGUUAACCUAUGUGGUGAGUGUGUGGGACCGCAGAGAAGGACUGCGAAACAUGGCUUAAGGCCAGGUGUGUGACCACGGACCACAGGCAGGUAACGCUGUAUGGGGUUUCCAUCCUUGGUUAUGUGUAUAAGUGUGUGUGGUUUCAUGCUCCAGGGGGUAGAAGAAGCUGCCCUCUGACUAACCUUUUUCAAAAACCACAACCUAAAAUAAGAAGUAAGAAAACCUGUGAGGUUAAAAAAAAAAAAAACUUCAGAUCUCACUGCUCUGUCACAGGGCAAGUGUCCACUCUGUUAAUUCUGCCUACAUUUUUACAGACUAAUGAAAGGGCUCAGAGUUUGCUCAUCCUUUCUGUCCACAUCAGUGUAACACAACACCCAGCCCCUGCAAACUCAUCUGUCUAUUUAUCUACCUGGCUUGUCUGUGUCUUAACCUGUGUUUUUAAACAAACCAAUAAAAUCACUGUUGGUUCCCAGCACUGUUCAAACAAGAAUUUGUUUCAGACUUGGAACCUGCAGGGGAUCCUUGGAACCUCAUGUCAUCUGUUUACCAGCUCCCACCAGUGGUAAAAAGCAGUACUGUCACAGCCGAUCUGGGAGGUGAUUUGAUAGUGUUCAGUUUGUCUGUGUAAUGUAUUUAAUAUUUCAUAAGAGGAAGAUGUCUUGUUUUAUUGCUUCAAGUUAAGUACGUGCAGAGUAGUUUUCCAUUUACAUAUACCAGAGGCAAGGGUUUUGUUGCUACAAAGGAAUU